rnacentral:rRNA from 1 species
AGACGGGACCCGCACAAGCAGCGGAGCGUGUGGUUUAAUUCGAUGCUACACGAAGAACCUUACAGGGUUUGACAUGUAAGUGGUAGUGAUCUGAAAGGCGACCGACCCUUCGGGGAGCUUGCACAGGUGCUGCAUGGCUGUCGUCAGCUCGUGUCGUGAGAUGUUCGGUUAAGUCCGCUAACGAGCGCAACCCUCGCUGUGUGUUACAAGUGUCACACGGUACUGCCGGUCUUAAGCCGGAGGAAGGUGGGGAUGACGUCAAGUCAGCAUGGCCUUUAUGUCCUGGGCUACACACACGCUACAAUGGCCAACACAAUAGGUUGCUAAGCCGCGAGGUGGAGCCAAUCCUCAAAGUUGGUCUCAGUUCAGAUUGCAGGCUGCAACCCGCCUGCAUGAAGAUGGAGUUGCUAGUAACCGCAGGUCAGCUAUACUGCGGUGAAUACGCUCCCGGGGCUU